UGAGUGGUGACACACACGGACAGACAAAGACAGCGAGGACAGAGAAAUAGACCUGUUGGGUGACUGAUGGGUUGACCUUGGGAUGUGUGAGGAAGACGGAGAGACGUUGAGCCAUGGGACAGACAAAGAAUAGGAACAAAUGGGGUGGUGGAUAUUUUCCUGAGAGAGGUGAAAUUCAAUGACCAGGAAAAGAUGGACGAGAGCGAAAGCAUUCCACAAAGAUGUUUUCAUAGAUCAAGAACGAAAGUUGGGGGAUCGAAGACGAUCAGAUACCGUCGUAGUCUCAACCAUAAACGAUGCCGACUUGGGAUUGGAUGCAGAAUCCCAUUUUCUGUUUCUUUGCUUUUUUGUGAGGCAAAGGACAUGGAAUGGAAAUCGAAAAGAAGCACAUGUGUGUUGUGGGAACGCAAUGGAUGUGUGUGGACAGAAUAGACUCUUCCAGGACUUUUGAGAGAAAUCGAGAAGUUGAUGGGCUUCGGGGGGAGUAUGGUCGCAAGGCUGAAACUUAAAGGAAUUGACGGGAGGGCACACCAGGAGUGGAGCGUGCGGCUUAAUUUGACUCAACACGGGGAAACUUACCAGGUCCAGACAUAGGAAGGAUUGACAGAUUGAUAGCUCUUUCUUGAUUCUAUGGGUGGUGGUGCAUGGCCGUUCUUAGUUGGUGGAGUGAUUUGUCUGGUUAAUUCCGAUAACGAACGAGACCUCCGCCUAUUAACUAGAUAAAGUAAAUAUGUUUACUUUGUCUUCUUAAAGGGACACUAUACGUUUGAGUAUGGGGAAGCUGGAGGCAAUAACAGGUCUGUGAUGCCCUUAGAUGUUCUGGGCUGCACGCGCGCGACACUGAACUAUUCAACGAGUGGCUUGAUCGAUAGAUCUGGCGAAUCUUUUGAAAAUAGUUCGUGAUGGGGAUUGAUGCUUGUAAUUUUUCAUCAUGAACGAGGAAUUCCUAGUAAACGCAAGUCAUCAACUUGCAUUGAUUACGUCCCUGCCCUUUGUACACACCGCCCGUCGCACCUACCGAUUGAAUGAUCCGGUGAACACUUUGGAUUUUCGGAUACGUUUGAGUAUCUGGGAGAAGUCGUGUAAAUCUUAUCAUUUAGAGGAAGGUGAAGUCGUAACAAGGUUUCCGUAGGUGAACCUGCGGAAG
rnacentral:rRNA from 1 species